rnacentral:rRNA from 1 species
GCCUAACACAUGCAAGUCGAACGGAACUGUUUUGAAAGAUUCUUCGGAAUGAAUUUGAUUUAGUUUAGUGGCGGACGGGUGAGUAACGCGUGAGUAACCUGCCUUCAAGAGGGGGAUAACAUUCUGAAAAGAAUGCUAAUACCGCAUGAUAUAUCGGAACCACAUGGUUCUGAUAUCAAAGAAUUUUAUCGCUUGAAGAUGGACUCGCCGUCCGAUUAGUUAGUUGGUGAGGUAACGGCUCACCAAGACCGCGAAUCCGGUAGCCGGACUGAGAGGGUUGANACGGCCACAUUGGGACUGAGACACGGCCCAGACUCCUACGGGAGGCAGCAGUGGGGAAUAUUGGGCAAUGGGCGCAAGCCUGACCCAGCAACGCCGCGUGAAGGAAGAAGGCUUUCGGGUUGUAAACUUCUUUUGUCGGGGACGAAGUAGAAGACGGUACCUGGCGAAUAAGCCACGGCUAACUACGUGCCAGCAGCCGGGUAAUACGUAGGUGGCAAGCG